GACGAACGCUGGCGGCGUGCCUAAUACAUGCAAGUCGAACGAGAGCAACCGGUGCUUGCACUGGUCAAUCUAGUGGCGAACGGGUGAGUAACACGUGGGUAACCUGCCCAUCAGAGGGGGAUAACAUCCGGAAACGGAUGCUAACACCGCAUAGGUCUUCGAACCGCAUGGUUUGAAGAGGAAAAGAGGCGCAAGCUUCUGCUGAUGGAUGUACCCGCGGUGCAUUAGCUAGUUGGUGGGGUAACGGCUCACCAAGGCCGUGAUGCAUAGCCGACCUGAGAGGGUGAUCGGCCACAUUGGGACUGAGACACGGCCCAAACUCCUACGGGAGGCAGCAGUAGGGAAUCUUCCGCAAUGGACGCAAGUCUGACGGAGCAACGCCGCGUGAGUGAAGAAGGUUUUCGGAUCGUAAAACUCUGUUGUUAGAGAAGAACAAGUGCUAGAGUAACUGUUAGCGCCUUGACGGUAUCUAACCAGAAAGCCACGGCUAACUACGUG
rnacentral:rRNA from 1 species